GACGAACGCUGGCGGCGUGCUUAACACAUGCAAGUCGAACGGAAAGGCCCUGCUUUUGUGGGGUGCUCGAGUGGCGAACGGGUGAGUAACACGUGAGUAACCUGCCCUGGACUUUGGGAUAACUUCAGGAAACUGGGGCUAAUACCGGAUAGGAGCUCCUGCUGCAGGGUGGGGGUUGGAAAGUUUCGGCGGUUGGGGAUGGACUCGCGGCUUAUCAGCUUGUUGGUGGGGUAGUGGCUUACCAAGGCUUUGACGGGUAGCCGGCCUGAGAGGGGGACCGGCCACAUUGGGACUGAGAUACGGCCCAGACUCCUACGGGAGGCAGCAGUGGGGAAUAUUGCACAAUGGGCGGAAGCCUGAUGCAGCAACGCCGCGUGCGGGAUGACGGCCUUCGGGUUGUAAACCGCUUUCGCCUGUGACGAAGCGUGAGUGACGGUAAUGGGUAAAGAAGCACCGGCUAACUAUGUG
rnacentral:rRNA from 1 species